rnacentral:rRNA from 1 species
GUGAAGUCGGGGGAGGGGGUCGGGGUAAAGGGGAGGGGGCAAGGGUUAAUCGGGAUACAAGGUGGUGAAGGGCGGGUAGGGGGUUUGUGAAGGCGGGGGUGAAAUCCCUGGGCUCAACCUGGGGACUGCGCUGGUGACUGCCAGGGUAGAGUACGGCAGAGGGGGGUGGAAUUCCACGUGUAGCAGUGAAAUGCGUAGAGAUGUGGAGGAACACCAAUGGCGAAGGCAGCCCCCUGGGUCGAUACUGACGCUCAUGCACGAAAGCGUGGGUAGCAAACAGGAUUAGAUACCCUGGUAGUC